GUGCAUUUCUGUGCCUAACAACCACUUUCUUACAGAAGCAGAAAUCGUGUGUUGACUGAGAAUGCAUGAAAUAUGAGCGUAGGCCUCAAACGUCAAGAAGAACCACAGUAACUGGAAGGAUCUUGAAUUACAGCACGAGGAGGGUCGUUAAAACAGAAGGUUUAACCCGCUUCGAUUUUACCGCAGAAGAAAGCUCCACCGGCUUAGAGACGAAACGAAGUGGAUGGAAAGCUUCUCCCUGCACUCCACAGUUAUUGAAGGCAAUGUGAAGAAGAUGUCUUCUCAUCCUGAAUGGAGAAACCUGAGAAAUCAGCAGGACCCUUCAGUCUUCACUUCACCGCUGAUGUCAUCCGUGACCUUCUGAACCUUUGACCAAUCACAAGUAAGUUUGUUCCUGUUUGUACAGUGGGGAAAAGCAAGUACAGCACCCAGAGAUGCAGAAGAGUUCAUGGAAAGAGCAGAACCAGUGUCAUCAGAAGUACAGGAGUGAGAGAGAUCUGGAUCAACACACACACAUACACACACACACUGGUGGGAUCUCUUAUGUUCGUUAGGAGUGUGUUGACUAAGGCAUGUGUAAAACUCCAUCACUAAGAGUAGAAUGACUGCAGUCUGUAGAGAGUCGAGCAGAAUUCAGAAUGGAAGUGGAACUGAGCUGCAAACAGGAUGCAAAAUUGACAUAUAUAUAUAUAUAUAUA